ACUCAGGCACGAUCCGGGCCUCUGCGAGCCAUGCCCUGGAACCGACCUGAUGUUCAAUCCUGAGGGA
rfam:Corynebacterium pollutisoli strain VDS genome assembly, contig: Ga0138996_107